GGUACAGAAAGGAACUAGUUAUUAUGGUUCUCAGUAUAUUGGUUGGACAGGUUGGUACAGAAAUGAACUAGUUAUUAUGGUUCUCAGUAUACUGGUUGGACAGGUUGGUACAGAAAUGAACUAGAUAUUAUGGUUCUCAGUAUACUGGUUGGACAGGUUGGUACAGAAAGGAACUAGUUAUUAUUGUUCUCAGUAUACUGGUUGGACAGGUUGGUACAGAAAGGAACUAGUUAUUAUGGUUCUCAGUAUACUGGUUGGACAGGUUGGUAUAGAAAGGGAUUGUAAGACCCUACUUAUUUUCCCACGAAGGUUGAAUAGGCAGAGAGCUCUGUAAAUAUUGUACAACA
ensembl:lncRNA